ACUUCUUUCUCUACAUCUGUUUCAGAGAUGAUGGUGUCUACAGUCUGGGAAGCUGCUGUCCCUGAGGUCCUGGGGAUUGAACUCAGGUAGUCAAGAUUGGCAGCAAGUGCCUUUAUCGGCUGAGCCACCACACUGCUCUCCACCCCAAGCCAGUUGUCAUUUACAAUUACAUAAAAAGAUGUUAUGUGAAGGGAUAAGCAGAGGAAAAAAAAAGGUAUGCAGAAGUUGCUCAAUGAUGGCAACAGCUGCUAUUACGGUUACUGAAGUUCUUACUGUCACAGCAGGAAAGGAGGAGACAUUACCACUGGACUGCCACCAUCUUCAUCCUAAGGCAUCCUGUCAUGAACAACCUUGAUCAACAAUCCCAUGAGGGCCUCAAGUUUCAGUUAUGCUAGCUUGUAAGUCUGAUGGGACUCCAUUCGUGACCUCCUUAGAUGGCUUCUCCUGGAGUUUAGAUUCCAGAUAUGAUUUUCAACCACUGGGGGACAUCUUUUAGUUUCCUAAACUUCAUUUUGCCUGUGCUAGAUGAGAGUUGAACUAUGUGUCAAUCAAAUCUAAGAGGUGGAGCCAUUUGAAUCUCUGAAUGACCCCCUCUGGUGGCUCCUCUCUUUCCUUGCACACACUUCUGACUAACACACACCCAUUUUCUCUGUUGCUCUUUUUGUAAUUAAUAACUCGAUGUGGGGACUACACAAGUAGGAAGCCACUGCUUUUUUGUCUUCCUGUAUCCAACAGACUUUUUUGAGCACCCUUUGCUUAUUAGGAGGAGACCAAGUGCUACGGCUCUCCCAGGCUUCGCAGUGCAUAGCCAUGAAUCAUGAGUCCAUGCAGAAUCUGGCUGUGUACGAUUUGUAAGUGGAAACAGCAAGUCGGGGGCAAAAAGGCAAAGUCUGUCCUCAUGUGAUGAGAGGCACCAAGCCUGGAAGGGUGCACUGCGGUCUGCGAACAUCAUUAUUAGCAGGUUGGAGAUGUACUGGAGAGUGUUCAGAGAAAAGCAGCAAGGAUGAUAAACGGGCGGAAAGACUGAUUUAUGAAGACUCACACAACAAAAUAUGUAUUCUUGGAUCAACAAAGACUUCACAAGAAACGUGAUCGCUAUCAAGGAGUCUCUGAAGGCUUCGGAAUGCCCCGGAGGAUUGCAGGGUUUCGCCUGAUAUUUGAAAUGGUGACAGAGACUCAGUGGCUGGCAAAUUCUACCUGUGGAUCAGAGAAUACGAAGCCAGCAAAUUCAUCUCUGUCUCACUGACAGAAAGUGGCUUCAAAGGACAGCAUCCUUUAGCCGUCCUCCCUCCCAUCUCUACUUCUGCGUGGGUAAUUACGCAGAGCCACUUGUUUUCUGCGUAUGCUCAGUGAUUUUAAUGCGUGUUUCCUAUUUAUAUAUACCUUCUCUCAAGAUGUCAAGAAUGAAAUAUUUCAUUUUUUUAAACCAUCCACUUCAAAGGCCAGAAGAUGAAAGCAGUUGAGUUCUGAACAAACUU
rnacentral:lncRNA from 1 species